AGUGAACGCUGGCGGUAGGCCUAACACAUGCAAGUCGAACGGCAACACAGUAAGAGCUUGCUCUUACGGGUGGCGAGUGGCGUACUGGUGCGGAAUACAUCGGAAUCUACUUUUUCGUGGGGGAUAACGUAGGGAAACUUACGCUAAUACCGCAUACGACCUACGGGUGAAAGCAGGGGAUCUUCGGACCUUGCGCGAUUGAAUGAGCCGAUGUCGGAUUAGCUAGUUGGCGGGGUAAAGGCCCACCAAGGCGACGAUCCGUAGCUGGUCUGAGAGGAUGAUCAGCCACACUGGAACUGAGACACGGUCCAGACUCCUACGGGAGGCAGCAGUGGGGAAUAUUGGACAAUGGGCGCAAGCCUGAUCCAGCCAUACCGCGUGGGUGAAGAAGGCCUUCGGGUUGUAAAGCCCUUUUGUUGGGAAAGAAAAGCAGCAGGUUAAUACCCCGCUGUUCUGACGGUACCCAAAGAAUAAGCACCGGCUAACUUCGUG
rnacentral:rRNA from 1 species